rnacentral:rRNA from 1 species
GACGAACCGUGCGAACGUUAUUCGGAAUCAUUGGGCUUAAAGGGCGCGUAGGCGGCGGUGUAAGUUGGAAGUGAAAUCCCAUCGGCUCAACCGUGGAAUUGCUCCCAGUACUGCAUCGCUCGAGGGGGAUAGGGGUUUGCGGAACUACCGGUGGAGCGGUGAAAUGUGUUGAUAUCGGUGGGAACGCCAGUGGCGAAAGCGGCAAACUUGACCCUUCCUGACGCUGAGGCUGCGAAAGCUAGGGGAGCAAAC